AUGGACAAUAAGAAUUGGUGAUAUGAACCCAUGGCUGCCAAAAUAGCAAAGUUUAAGGAAUCAAAAUAGCAACCCCAUUUCAGUUUGGCUAAAAAUUUACGAGGCAAAAACUUUAACUUCUUUCAAACAGUCCUAACUUUUUUCUAAUAUAAAAACCAGUUGUGUAACUCUUUAAUAAUUGUCAGAUAGAUAAAUAAUUAGUUUUUGAGUAGUUGGAGGUCAGGAUUUUCUCAAAUUAACCUUAUCUUAUCUUAUUUUAAUCUUUGUAAUCUAUCCAAAGCCAGCCAACACUGUCAAGGACGCAGUCCUAUAUGUACAAAAGUGGUAUUAGAGUGUGAGGAUGGACAGAAGAGUGUAGUUUAACAAAAUGAAAGGAUGGAGAAGCACACUAUGCUGCUUCUAGGAAGCACUCAGGGAAGAGGACAGCAAGAGGGAAAUCACUGUGAUCAUGGCAUGUAUUGUAGAAGAAGAUGGAGAACUCAUUAUGGAUUUAGAGCAAACGAUGAGCAAGAGACACCAGGUAUCUCACUGCAUGCCAUUAGUGGUGACCAAUGCACCCAAGGCGAUGAAGGUGUUGCACUACGAAUCCACAGACCUUUUCUUAUGAUUUUGGGGUAUCACUAACUUGAUUGUACUGUUUGAAGAAGAGAUUGCAAGUUGGUCAUUAAUGACAUCAGGAAUCUUACUGCAGUAAUGAUUAGGUUUAAGCAUUUAAAGGUUGAGAUUAGGCUUAAGAAAUAGCUAAAUGUGCUUAGAAACAUUGUAGAACAAAUGCAAAAAGGAUAACACAGAAGAAGAAGAAGAUAGAGAGAGAGAAUAUUGCCUUGGAGUUACAAGAAGGCCUUUUUGAAGUUUUGACUACAAAAUAAUUGCAAGAAUCUUUUUUCAGUUGGGUGCAACCACUAAAAACUCUUAAUUAUCCAUAUCUUGCUUACAUAAAUGGCGAUUACAUCUGCAUAGUGUUUAUUUUUCUGCUGAUGUUUUGGACGAUUUAUUUACUAUUUCAUACUUGAUAUGCAUAAAUAUUUUGAAACACUCAAAAAAAAAAAAAAAUUUUUGAAAGGGUGCCAGCAGGAAAGAGAGGACAAUCAGUAAAAAUUUCUCACCUAGAGUUUGGAGGGAAUGAACCUGUCCAUCAGACUUGGUGCUUUUUCAAAACUUUAGGACUCUGUAAUUGUGCAACAAGCUAGCUAUUGAAGCAUGGGGAAAUCAAGGUUUUAUAGCUUACAAUCGUAGCUUGGUUCAAAGAGUCGAAAUUAUAAAAGUAAUGAACAAAGGAGUAUAUAUAUGACAAAAUCAAGGUUAUAUUGUCUUCUAGGUUCCAUCCAGAGGUGACUCCUUUCCUGUCAUCCUUAAGAGUUCUAAAAUUUAAGAUUUCUUCUUGAUUUUGUGUUGCGUUAAAGAUUUAUAGGCCUUUCCCAAUGAAUUUGGAUCUCAUAACAGUGAUUAUAGUUUUAGAAGAAAAGAAUGUGAGUUGGUAUUAAACGGCAUCUGGCUUUGUUCUACCAUAAUAAUCGGAAGUGUUAAGGAUUUUAAAUUUGAGAUUGGGCUUGAGGAGUAGCUGGUUCUGGCUAAAGUUCUGCUGAGCAAAGACAUAUAUAUGUUUGUGUGGGGUAGUUGUAGUGCGUCUAGAUUCCUGAAUAAUGGUCCUUCACUUUUGUCUCUGCAUUUGUUCAAAUAUGUUCUUAUGCUGUGGCCUGUUAUAUCACUCUAGACAUUAUGUUGUAAGGAUUUGGUAAUUAUGUUCCAAUGCUUUGGGCUGUUAUGUCUAUGACUCAUGUCCCUAGAUUUGUUCAUUAUUAUAUGUUCUUAUUUUGUCACCAGUAUUUAUUCUUAUGCUCUAAUGUCCUCCAUCUUGAGAUCAACUUGAGCUUUGGUCUUCGAUUAAAAAUCUUAACUCUAAUACAGGUAUCUCUUAUUAUUGUAGGUAAUUUUAGCUUUACAUAAGAAAUUACAGCGAAAUCUGCUGGAGCUACCGGCAUGGAUUUUGUGUCCAAGAAAUUGAAGAAGAAAUAUAACAUCACCAGCAUGAAGCUGCUUAUACAUGGGCAGAUUCUAUAAAUGGAUGGGAGUUCCUUCCUAUGCAUUCAAGUGCAAGAUAUGCACAUUAUGUUACAAACAUUGAUUACGCGCAGAAACCUUUUGAAACAAGGUUUCAUCAUGGGCAGUGAAUUUGACAAACAAGCAGUUUGCAAAAAUCUUUUCAAUUUUUCUUGAAUUAUCAGACUUCGAUGAUUUAAUUGGUUUCAAAAGUGAUGCGGAGAAAAGAAUGUCAUGAUAUUGGUGAGGCAAGCUUGUGGUAUGGGAGGAGAAUUGGGUUCAAAGAUGAUGGGUUUGAAGAGAAGACAGCCCUCAUGACUGCUACCAUGCUUGUAAGUGAGGUUGUGUUAAAUUAUAUACUGGAAACCAGUUGUUGCUGUUGUGGACUUUGCUAUUUCAACUGAGGUUGUUAAGCUCUUGCUUGAUGCUUCUGCACUUCAUUUUGUAUAUUGUUGCAUACUGUUGACUAUGUACAGUACACCUUGUUCAUUUUAUUCCUGUUUUUUCUGUCUUAUAAUAGUAAUUGUCUUUGUGUAAUAUUGUGUAAUAGAACAUGUAUUCGGGGUGGAUGUUUAUUUCUAUAAUCAUUCAUUUUGGACAUGCAUGGUUAACAGAAGUGCGAUGGUUGGCUACA